UCUCAUUUUAGAUCACCUAUCAAGCUUUUCCUAUCACGAAAAUCUGCAAAACGAUUUUCUUGUGAUGGUGUCAUGGAUCGCCAUUGAAGUUUCAUAUUGAAACCUCAUAACGUAAGGACGGAGAUAUACCCUAAGAGUUUAGAAAACAUUAUUGCAACUGACAUCACCAUACAGAAGAAUAUUUGAAAUGGAUAAAAUAUACAGACCCCACGAAAUAUGAUUUCUUUAACGGCAUCUGAAUCAACAAUUCUUCCUUCUGAAUCCUUACUUUUGUCCCAUUGUUCUUGUGUUAAAGAUACUGGUGGAUGAUGGACAUCAAUCGUAAAGGAAGAGUUAAACAAAUCUGCUACUGCUUCUUCAACCGGUCUUCUUGCUGGUUCCUUAUAUACUGAAAUAUAUAAUUAGAUUUAUAUGUCAUAUUU